GACAUUCCUAUUUUUAUGUUUCCCGAAGGGAGAACAUAUAGUAUCCUUACAGGUAUUUGCAUAUAACAAAAAAGUCAGGAGAAAUGGAAGUUGUACACGUUUCCAUCUUUUUGAUUGGCUGACAUUCUUACUAUCUUGCUCAGACGUCAGGGCUAAACCUAUCAACGCAAAGGUCACAAAAUGGCAGUCCCCACAGAGCAGCUUUUUGAUUGGGCAGAAGUCUAGCUUGAUACGUCAGGGGUAAACCUAUCAACGCACAGACCAGCUUUUUGAUUGGGCAGAAGUCUAUCUUUGUCAUGGAUACGUCAAAUGUGAACCAAUGAGCUGCUAGGUCACUGCACUGUAGCAGUCACGCGCGCGUCUACGAGUUGGUGUUUUGGUUUGUCGGCUCGCGCGUACGAGGUGUGUUUUGUCGGCUCCACAGCUCCACCAGCUGCACUCGGCUCGGUGUUUUGUCGGCUCGCGCGUACGAGGUGUGUUUUGUCGGCUCCACAGCUCCACCACGCACUGCAAAGCAGGACUAUCAACCAGCCCAGAAAGCCACUUCUGUACAACGACACAGUCCAACAUCACUAACGCAACAAAGCAGCACUACUAGCAGCUGGACUCACCAUGACAAGGACCCUAGCUACAAAAUCAGCCUUUCCAUUUAUUUCCAACAUUCUCAAAUACAUUCUCUGAACUAUAA